rnacentral:lncRNA from 1 species
AGCCGUAGAUCUGAGCCGCCGUCGUCCCCACUUCGUUCCCUCCAUGUUUCCAUCCGGUACCUCCACCCCUCACCAUCUCUCUACCUCUCGCUCGCUCGCCGUGCGUGCGUGUGUAUAAGCGCAGUGCUCGGUUUGGUGGGUCGCUGGUUCCAGAUCUCACCUCUGCGGGGGCCGCCUCCUCCGAACAGUUGGUUCGUUGGGCGCCGGGAAACCUUAGGGGGUAGGGACGGACCCAGCGAUGCGAGGAAUCUUGGUUUUGGUUUUGUACGCCGGGGAUCACCACCGUCAGCACAGUCAGUGGCGGAGCUUUAUUACCAACAAAUAUUGGAAGCUCGUCAGCAUCACCAUCUCCAUACAGACAGAGGGUUUGUUGGUCGCUGGUUCCAGAUCCCACCUAUAUGGGCGCCGCCUCCUCCGACCAGUUGGUCCGUUGGGCGCUGGGAACCCUUAGGAGGCAGGGACGGAACCAGCAAUGCAAGGAAUGGAGCAGUGGCAUUGUCAGAAUCUUUGCAAAUACCCUGGAGUCUGGAUAUUGGUAUAUCCAAAACAUCUUAUACUCCCUCUGUUCCUAAAUAUAAGUCUUUUUAGAGAUUUCAAUAGACUACAUAUGAGGCAAAAUGAGUGAAUCUACAUUCUGAAAUGCAUCUAUAUACACCCGUAUGUAGUCCUUGUUGAAAUCUCUAAAAUCCCCUCACAAUCGUCAUCAUCAUCAUGAUCAUCUCCCUUGCUGUCACAAUCAGCUUGGUCCUCUUUGGUUCACAGGAUUCUAGAAAAGAAAGGCAGGGAUAUGUGAUAGUCCUACAGAAUUCCUUUGAAUCAAAGAGGCCCCCAACUUGUUGCUGCUGCUGUUGUUGGUGGUGCAAGCUAUUGCAAAGUUCAUACCAACUUUCUUUGGAUCAAAGAGGCCCUAAGGCUGUCGCACCUUUUGUUCGUGAAUGAUGCAUGGCUUUAUGAUUAACCAGUUUGUGGUUGCUGAACUGUGCCGUGCUGAAUGGACUUUCCAUUUUGGCGAGUCCGCUAGAGUUUCUCUUAGCUGGUGCGGGGCUAUGAUGAUUGAUUAUGGCUGACAUAAGCAUGCUCUCGAGCAAUUGAGGCACUUGCGGGUAUAAAGUUGGACCCCCCCUUGUUUCUUUGAGCCGUUUUGAUCAUGUGCUUAUUUUAGUGGCUCUGUCCUUGGAUGGUCAUUUCUGAUGAGUGAUAACCAGGGCAGUUUCACCAUUGUAAGAACAGAUUCAUCCGGUGAUGGAGACACUAGGGAAAGGGUCAUAUGAUCGAGCAAAGGCGAAUCUGAGCCCAUUCAAAUGCAGUUCUGGUCUCAAAGCACAAUCUGCUAUGUUGCCAUUCUGUAUUUGUAUUUAGCGCCUCCUUGGUUUGCAGGAUUUUAAGAACACAACAACAACAACAACAACAACAAAGCCUUUAGUCCCAAACAAGUUGGGGUAGGCUAGAGGUGAACACACUCAAGGAAAAAUUGCAGGAUUGCAUUGUUAGGGCAUCUCCAUCGCAGACCCCCAAGGUUCCGUCCGCAAAUGUCCGCGGACAUGUCCUGACGUGUCUGCGGACUGCCGGCCGGGCCUAGGCCAUUCUUGCUAGGGCGAUGAUGAUUGACCAUGGCUGAAAUAGUGUGCCUUUGAGCAAUCGAGGCACCUGUGGGUAUCAAGUUGGAUGCUCCCUCUUGUCUCUAGAAUCCUUUGAUCCUGUGAUACUGAUUGCUCUGUCCUUGGACGGUCAUUCUUGUUGAGUGAUAACCAGGGCAGCUCCACAGUAUAAACUGGUUGAUCUGGUGAUAGCAGAUGAUGUGGGUAGGUUAUAUGAUCGAGCAAAGGCGAAUCUGAGCCCACUAUGCAAUAUAAGCUCCAGUGUUUAUAUCUGUCUUGUGUAAAGAUUUCUUCUCUUAUACCUUCAUUGCAUAAGUUAUGCUUGAUCUUUUAUCGUUCGCUGUUGCUCCUUAAUUUAAUCUGGUUAAGAGUAAGUUGCACUUUGUUACAUUAGGAAGACUUGCUCCCAGCAAAUUAUCGGUUGAAUGGCUUGUUUUAAUUAGUUGUCAUACUAUUAUUUCUAUUUUUCCGCAAGUUACCAGUUGCAGCUACUUGUUCUUACAUGCUACAAAUAAUAAUGCAACUGGAUUUUUUUGGAGAGAAUGCUGGACUGUUCAUGUAAAGAGUGACCGAGGCAGCAUGUCACAUGUUACUGUCUGUAUCCAUAAGCAAUUUUUCAACUGCUGUGAUUAAGUUGCUGGGUUAAUCUGGGCCAUUGAGCAGUCAUUUUCUUUUGUUUUCUUUAGUUUGUUCUGAAGCUUUCCCCAAUUCUGGCUGUCGCCACUAUGUUUUUUAGAUCAUCCACCAGAUUAAGUGCAGCUGAACUUCAAAGGAUUUGUGUUUUGUUAGUGUCUUAACUUGUUUCCUUGCUAAGUAAGCCUUUGGGGUUAUUCUGUUCUGUUGCUGCCUUCUUUGUACAUAUAGUUUUGCAUCACUUUGUCUUGUACUCUUCCUGGCAAGCUUAUAACAGUGACGACCUUUGUCCAUUUAGACAUAGCAAUGUGUGCUCUGCACCCGACAUGUGGAGAAGGCACGCUGUCAAAAAAAAGUGGAGAAGGCACGCAUGGUACCGCGUCCCAAACUGCUCGACAAAACCCUCUCCGCCCCCUCUCUCACGGGCUCACUCAUCAUUAGUUUUAAGUGUGAGACCGCCGCGUCCAUCGGCGGUGGAGGUGGCAGAGCUGUCGCUCACCCCUUCGCUCCGCUGCGGCCGAUGACCGCACCACCUGAGACCGCGGCCACUUGGAAAACAGCGGCUAUGAGGAGGCCCGGCCCUUGGCGGCGACCUGUCCCUCUGAAUGGCGGCAGCGUCGGCCCUUGGCGGCGACCUGUCCCUCUGAAUGGCGGCAGCGUUGGAUCUUUGCCUCGCGGGGCCCGCUCUCCCAUCUGCUCCGCGCUGCGAAGCCGCCGGCAUGGCGGCCCUUGCUCCGAGCAGCUGCCGCAGCGUCGUCGGCGUCAGGUGCGGUGGUGGGGGUUGUGGGGACCGCGGGGCGGGGGACUGCCGUGGUUUCCUAUUGUCGGUUCUGACGACGUCAAGCCGUAGAUCUGAGCUGNNNNNNNNNNNNNNNNNNNNNNNNNNNNNNNNNNNNNNNNNNNNNNNNNNNNNNNNNNNNNNNNNNNNNNNNNNNNNNNNNNNNNNNNNNNNNNNNNNNNNNNNNNNNNNNNNNNNNNNNNNNNNNNNNNNNNNNNNNNNNNNNNNNNNNNNNNNNNNNNNNNNNNNNNNNNNNNNNNNNNNNNNNNNNNNNNNNNNNNNNNNNNNNNNNNNNNNNNNNNNNNNNNNNNNNNNNNNNNNNNNNNNNNNNNNNNNNNNNNNNNNNNNNNNNNNNNNNNNNNNNNNNNNNNNNNNNNNNNNNNNNNNNNNNNNNNNNNNNNNNNNNNNNNNNNNNNNNNNNNNNNNNNNNNNNNNNNNNNNNNNNNNNNNNNNNNNNNNNNNNNNNNNNNNNNNNNNNNNNNNNNNNNNNNNNNNNNNNNNNNNNNNNNNNNNNNNNNNNNNNNNNNNNNNNNNNNCCCCACUCGCUGUGCCUUGCGAGUGUGUCCAUGUAUAAGGGAGGUGCUUGUUUGUUUUUCAUGUGCGAGUCUCGGCGUUUUGGUGAAGCUGUGCGAGGGUUUGGUCGGUUGCUGGUUCUACAUCCCACCUCUAUGGGCUCCGCCUCCAACCGACCAGUUGGUCCGUUGGGUGCUGAGAAAUCUUAGGGGGUAGGGAUGGACCCAGCGACGACACUGCCACAACCUUUGCAAAUACUCUAGCGACCAGCACUGUCAGUGGCGGAGCUUUACCAAUAAAUAUUGGAACCUCGUCAGCAUCAUCAUCUUGGUCGCUGUCUCAUUCCCCUUUGUACUCUUUGGUUCGCAGGAUUCUAGAAAUAUGGGAAUAUGAAAGUCACAGGAAUAUGUGAUAGGAUCCUCCAAAAUUCCUUUGAAUCAAAGAGGCCUCAAACUUGCUGGUGCUGGUGGUGGUGAUGCUGGUGCAAGCUCCUCUCUCUCUCUCUCUACUGCGAAGUUCCUGUGAACUUACUUGGAUCAAAGAGGCCCUAAGCUGUCACACUUCUUGUUUGUGAAUGGUGCAUGGCUUUAUGAUUAACCUCAGUUUCUGGUUGCUGAACUGUGUCGUGCUGAAUGGACUUUCCAUUUUGGCAAGUCUGCUGGAGUUGCUCUUAGCUGGCGCGGGGCUAUGAUGAUUGAUUAUGGCUGAUAUAAGCAUGCUCUUGAGCAAUCGAGGCACUUUUCGGGUAUUAAGUUGGAUACCCCCUUGUUUCUUUGAGCCGUUUUGAUCAUGCGCUUAUUUUAGUGUCUCUGUCCUUGGAUGGUCAUUUCUUAUGAGUGAUAACCAGGACAGUCUCACCAUUGUAAGAACAGAUUGAUCUGGUGAUGGAGACACUAGGGAAAGGGUCAUAUGAUCGAGCAAAGGCGAAUCUGAGCCCAUUCAAAUGCAGUUCUGGUCUCAAGCACAGUGUGCUAUGUUGUUGCUGUUCUGUAUUUGUAUUUAGCGCCUCUUUGGUUUGCAGGAAUUUAAGAACACAACAACAACAAAGCCUUUAGUCCCAAACAAGUUGGGGUAGGCUAGAGGUGAAACCCAUAAAGAUCUCGCAACUAACUCAUGGUUCUUGCACAUGGAUAGCAAGCUUCCACGCACCCUUGUCCAUGGCUAGUUCUCUGGUGAUACUCCAGUCCUUGAGAUCUCUCUUUAGGGAUUCCUGUCAUGUCAAGUUUGGUCUACCCUGACCUCUCUUGACAUUAUCAACACGCUUUAGCCGUUCGCUAUGCAUUGGCGCUUUUGGAGGCCUGCGCUGAAUAUUCCCAAACCAUAUCAGACGAUGUUGGACAAGCUUCAUUGAAGGAAAAAAAAAUGCAGGAUAUUGCAUUGUUAGGGUAUCUCCAACCCUGACCCCCAAAGUUCUGUCAGCAAAUGUCUGCGGACAUGUCCUGACGUGUCCGCGGACAGCCGGCUGGGCGGAGGGCAUUCUUGCUAGGGCGAUGAUGAUUGACCGUGGCUGAAAUAAGUGUGCCUUUGAGCAAUCAAGGCACCUGUGGGUUUCAAGUUGGAUCUUCCCUCUUGUCUCUAGAAUCCUUUUUGAUCCUGUGAUACUUAUUGUUCUGUCCUUGGACGGUCAUUCUUGUUGAGUGAUAACCAGGGCAGCUCCACUCUAUAAACAGAUUGAUCUGGUGAUAAGAGAUGACGGGGGUAGGUUAUAUGAUCGAGGAAAGGCGAAUCUGAGCCCACUGCAAUGAACCCUAAACCCUUUUUAUUUGUAUUUAAAGGUGUUGCUUAUUCUCAAGUGUUUAUAGCAGUCUCGUGCAAAGAUUUCUUCCCUCUCAUACCUUUAUUGCAUAUAAGUUGUUCUUGAUCUUUUAUUGUUUGUUGUUGCUCCUUAAUUUAAUCUAGUUAAGGGUAAGCUGCACUUUGCUAUACUUGAAAGACUCGCUCCCAGCAAGUUAUCAUUUGAAUGGCUUGUUUUAAUUCGUUGUGACACUAUUACUUCUAUUUUUCCGGAAGUUUCCCGAUGCAGCUAUUUGUUCUUACUCAAUCCGUUUCUAAAUAUAAGUCUUUUUAGAGAUUUCAAAUUUUCAAUACAAACUAAAUACUGAUGUAUAUAGACAUAUUUUAGAGUGUAAAUUCACUCAUUUUGCUCUCUAUGUAGUCCCUUAUUGACAUAUCUAAAAAGACUUAUAUUUACGACCGGAGGGAGCACAUGCUAAAAUUAUAAUGCUACAGAAUUUUUUCUAGUUUGUUUUUUUGAGAGAGAAUGCUGUAUUGUUCAUGUAAGGAGUGACCGAAGCAUGUCUCAUGUUGCUGUCUGUAUCUAUAAGCAAUUUUCCGACUGCUGUGAUUAAGUUGCUGGGAUAAUCCGAGCCAUCGAGUGGACAUUUCUCUGAAGCUUUCCCCAAUUCUGUCUGUCACCACUGCAUUUUUUGGAUCACGCACCAGACUAAAUGUAGUGAACUUCGAAGGAUGUGUGUUUUGGUAGCUUCUUAACUUGUUUCCUUGCUAAGUAAGCCUUCGGGGUUAUUCUGUUUUGUUGCUGCCUUCUUUAUACAUAUAGUUUUGGUCUUUUGCAUCACUUUGUCUUGCACUCUUCCGAGCAAGCUUAUAACAGUGAUGACUUUGUCCAUUUAGUCAUAGCAACUAUUUGAAUUAUCAAAAUUUGCUACCAUUUGGUUACCACCAGAUGUUUGUCUGUUGACAAAACAUGGUCCAGGAAGGCAUUUUGUCUGCUAUGUUUUUUGAAAUAGAAUUCUGAUUCAGGGCUAUGAUGAUUGACCAUUGCUGAUAUAAGCAUGCUCUCGAGCAAUCGAGUAAGCUUUGGGUAUAAGUUGGAUCCUCCCUUGUCUCUUGGAGCCGUUUCAACCACAACAAGAAUUAUGGAACGGAGGGAGUAUAUAUUUUCUGUGGCUCUGUCCUUGGAAGGUCAUUUUGAUCAGUGAUAACCAGGGCAGCUCCACAGUAUAAACGGGUUGAUCUGGUGGUAAGAGAUGAUGGGGGUAGGUUAUAUGAUCUGAGCCCCUCAAAUGCAAUUCUAGUGCUCCUUCAGCAUAAUGUGCUACGUUGUUUGUCUUUUCUUAUUUGUAUUUGAAGGUGUCGCUUUUUAUGCUCCUGUUUUUAUAGCUGUUCUGUGUAUAUAUUUCUUCCCUCGUACCUUUAUUGUGCAAGAUGUUCUUGCUCUUUUUUGUUUCGUUCUUGCAUCUAUCUGCACUAUAGUACGUGAAGUAUCAACCAAAAAAAAUUGGUCUUUGAUGCUACAUAUUCAGUUAAUUUUGUUCCCACUGUGCAACUUAAAUGUAUUGUCAUUGCCCCCAGCACAUUAUACUUUGUGGUUUGCACACAUGCAUGGCAAAAUACUCCAAAUCUGAUGUGGUGUAAUGAUGCUCUAUCAUGUAUUUUAAAAGCAUGCCUUGGGGCAAGCUUCUAUAUCACCACCCUUCUCCACAGAAGCAUGUUCAAAUCAUAAGCUAGUGUUGGUGGUGCUGUAAUUCGUAUGGUCAACCAGAUAAUCAGUGCAACAUGCUCGUCAUGUGUUUGGAUGCAACUGAGAGUGCAUAUGCACAUUAGAUACUGUGAAUAAAAGGUUGUGUGCUUGGCCAGUAAUUUUAAUAUGUGAGGCCUUCAUUGGCUAUGUAUAAUAUAAUGUUCUCUUGCCAUGUAUGUGUUGAGUGUUGGAUAACAAAAUGAUAAUGUUAAGUGAAAUUCUUCAAUAUCAAAUGAACUCUUUGUACAGAUUUUUUUAGUUCUAUUGGAUUUCCCAUAAUAGUUUGCAUACAGGUCUACCAUUGUGUCUCUUCAUGAAUGCGGUACUACUAAGCAAGCCUGAGAAGCCUUUGUAAUAGUUUGUGUAAUUGAGCAGUUUCUUUCUUUCAACUGCCAUAAUGUGUGCAAUUUCAUCUUGAUUCUAAAGUACAUGUUUCCUUUCUACUUGAAGUUAGAUGUAGGUCAGUAGGCAUCAGGAUGAUUGCAUAGCCCAAUAUUCUCCCUUGUUACAUAAUUUUGCAAGCUAUUGGUGACCACAAAUUAUUACGGGUUCUGUAUGCCAAACAAUGCUCUCUGUUUAAUGCAAAAUAUAUUGUUUGUAGGCACUAUUUGGUUUUGCUUGACAUUGAUUUUGGUGGUUUGCAUUUAAGUUAAAAUGCAGGCAGUGGUUGUUCUUUAUUGUUUGGUAAUUUAAUUUUUCUCUUCUGUUAGUUAUACUUGUUCUUUAUUGUUUGGGAUUUUGUUGCUUUCAGGAGAUAGCUUCUUCUCGCUUGCUUCUUCAGACUUGUAAUCCAUGAUCAUUUUGCUGCUUUCAGUAGGUAGCAUAUUCUUUAUUCUUUUGGGGUAAUUCUGUGUUGUUGCUGCCUUCUUUUUACAUAUAGUUUUGCAUCGCUUUGCUUUGCACUCUUCCUGGCAUGCUUAUAACAGAGACCUUUGUCCAUUAGACAUAGUAACUGUUCGAAUUAUCAAAAUUCGCUGCCAUUUGCUCACCACCAGAAGUUUAUCUGUUCACAAAACAUGGUCCAGGAAGGCAUUUUUUCUGCUAUGUUUUUUGAAAUAGAAUUCUGAUUUGGGGCAAUGAUGAUUGACCAUUGCUGAUAUAAGCAUGCUCUCGAGCAAUCGAGUAAGCUGUGCGUAUUCAGUUUGAUCCUCCCUCGUCUCGUGGAGCCAUUUCAACCAUGAUAAGAAUUAUGGAACGGAGGGAGUACUAAGAGUAACUCUAGCAGAUUUGCUAUAUUUUUGGUGGCUCUGUCCUUGGAAGGUCAUUUUGAUGAGUGAUAACCAGGGCAGCUCCACACUAUAAACGGGUUGAUCUGGUGAUAAGAGAUGAUUGGGGUAGGUUAUAUGAUCAAGCAAAGGCGAAUCUGAGGCCCCUCAAAUGCAAUUCUAGUGCUCUUUCAGCAUAAUGUGCUGCACUGUUUCUCUUUUUUUUAUCUGUAUUUGAAGGUGUCGCUUAUUUAUGCAAUUGUGUUUAUAGCUGUCCUGUGUAUGUAUUUCUUCCCUCUCAUACCUUUAUUGCGUAAGUUGUUCUUGCCCUUUUUUUUCAUCUGUCUGCACUAUAGUACAUCAAGUAUUAGGCAAGAAAAAUUUGUACUUUGAUGCUACAUAUUCAGUUAGUUUUGUUCCCACUGUUCAACUUAAAUGGAUUGUCGUGGCCCCCGGCACACUAUACUUUGUGGUUGCAUACAUGCACAGCAAAAUACUCCAAAUCUAAUGUGGUCUAAUGAUGCUCUAUCAUGUAUUUUAAUAAGCAUGCCUUAGAUCAAGCUUCUAUAUCACAGCCCUUCUCCACAGAAGCAAGUUCAAGUCGGUGGUGCUGUAAUUCGUAUGCUUGUCAUAUUCCUUUUGGAUGCAAUUGAGAGUGCAUAUGCACAUUAAAUGCUGUGAAUCAAAGCUUGCGUGCCUCGUCAGUAAUUUUGAUAUGUGAGCCCUCGAUUGGCUAUGUAUAAUAUGUUGUUCUCUCGCCAUGUAUGUGUUGAGUGUUGGUUAACAAAAUGAUAAUGUUCAGUGAAAAUUUUCAAUAUCAAACAAAUUUGUUGUACCGAGUUUGUUAGUUCUAUUGAAUUUCCCAUGAGAGUUUGUAUGCCGGUAUACCAUUGUGUCUCUUCAUGAAUGCGGUCCUGCUGAGCAAGCCUGAGAAGCCCUUGUACUAAUAGUUUGUGUAUUUGAGCAGUUUCGCCCUUUCAACUGCGAUGAUGUGUGCAAUUCCAUCUUGAUUCUAAAGUAGAGUUCCUUUCUACUUGAAGUUAAAUCGAGGUCAGUAGGCAUCAGGAGGAUUACAUAGCCCAAUAUCCUCCCUUGUCACAUAAUUUUGCAAGCAAUUGGUGACCACAAAUUAUUACGGGUUCUGUAUGCCAAACAAUGCUCUGUUUAAUGCAAAAUAUUUUUUUGUAUUGUAUUGUACUGCUAUUGCACAAGAUUUCUGGUUCCUCCUAACUAUGAGGCACUAUUUGGUUAUGCUUGACGGUAAUUUUGGCGCUUUAUUUCAACUAGAAUGCACGCAGGACAUGUUUGGUCAUUUGAUAUUUUUCUUCUCUCCUACGGCUACUUGUUCUUUAUUUGUUUCUAAUCAUUUUGCUGCUCUCAAGAGAUGCUUACCAUAUUCUCGCUUGGUUCAUCAGUGACCUCAUCCAUUUGGUUUGGUGUCAAAAGAGAAAGGGCCUCCCAACCAAGUUUCAUGUUCAUCUUAUUGGCUCUAGCUGUGAUCUUGUAGAUAUUGCUGCAUGUGGAACAUAUUUUAGCGUUUCCUAAGUUGGGUUCUAGAGUGGUUGCACUCUGUUAUACCAAGGUAGACUUGCUGGCUUGUUUUUAAAUGGUUGUCAUACCAGCAUUGUUUUCUCCCAGCAAAUUACCAGCUGCAGCAUUUUGUUCUUACAUGUGACAGAGAACCGAGGAUGUUGCAUGUUGCUGUCUGUAACCAUAAGCAAUUUUUUGGCUGCUGUGACUCUGAUUGAGUUGCUGGGUUUAGCUGAGCCACUGAGGUCUGAGGUGAUAUUUUGACUGCUGUUACUGUUGCCUCGAGUGCCAGUUUGGGCGUUCGACGCCUACGGUCUGUUCGAAGUGCUACGGUUUUGUUGUGUUACCCCGUGACAGGUUUCUUCAAUGUUAAGCAUCAUUUAGCAUGCUCUUGUUUUCUCAAACCGUUUGUCUCCAUCUCUUCGACCUGGUUUGAAUAAUUAUACACUUUUGGUUGUACGUGUGCAGGGCUGCAUGCAGGCUGGCUGGGAGUGUGUACGCUCUCGCACACCCGCGCCUUCUUAAAUCCCAGACCACAUCGGCAGUGACGCCGGCGAGCUGCAGGGAGUGACGGGCAGAAAUGGCGGCCUCCUCCCACUCCGCCGUCAUCUUGGUGCUGCUGUUCCUCCUCCUCGUCGUGGCGUUCGUGCCCGCACCGGCAGCAGCAGUGAGCCCCUCCAAGCGCCCCACCCAUCAGCCUCCCUCUUUCCCUGCCGGAAUCUCUACCCUGCGGCAGCUGGCUGCAAGCUCGAGCAGCGGGUACGCCACUGCGGCGAAGCCGUUCACGGCGCAGUACUUCCUGCAGGAGCUGGACCACUUCACCUUCACGCCCAACUCCUCCCGCGUCUUCUCCCAGAAGUACCUCCUCAACGACACCUUCUGGCGGCGGAAGCCCACCGUCGGGCCGCUGUUUGUGUACAUGGGCGGCGAGGCCAACAUUGAGUGGUUGGCCACCACCACCGGCUUCAUGUUCGACAUCGCGCCAGAGUUCGGGGCUCUCAUCGUCUUCAUCGAGGUAACCAUCUUUUGCCACAUCCUCCGCCAUGGCUGAUACUUUCAGCUAAUCAUCAUGUCAUCGGUGGCCACGCCUUGGUCCAAAUUUUGGUCGUGAUGCACACCAUCUUCUUUCUAAUUAAGCAUAUUAAUAAUAUAAUUAUUAAGAGGUAAACGGGCUAACAAAUGCAUCUAUAUAGACUGAGUAAUCUGUUCCCUUGAUUAUGCAUUAGAAUACAAUCUUAAUGAUCAAAAUCAAAAAGAAUAAUAAUAAUAAUAUAUGUGCAUCACAGCCACUCGUGAUGGAUCGGCGCUCCGGGUCGGGUGCAGUCCGAUUGAAACAAAGAGAGCAGUCCUGAUGACAUCACUGCCGAUGUCAGCACUCAGGCAAUUAAACAAAGAUUGACUGGAAUUUCACAUUCAAGAAUAUGACUCUAGAUCGAUUGAGACACAAACAAUUAUUUUCUGUUAGUUGGAUCAAGAGCAAAAGUUCCUGCAAAAAAAAAAGAGAAAGAGCAAAUGUAUCAACUAAAUAUUUUCCAUCCGUAGUCCACAAAGUUCAUAGAUGUAAAUGAUUCUAUACAAAGAGCAGAAUUCUGAUUAUAAAUAUCAGCUUAAAACUAAACUGUGGAAUAAAAAUGAACAUGGAGAAAAAAAAACAUGCAUGGGUAACUCUGAUGGUGACCCGGAAUGGCUGCGGCCCUCUGAACCCUGAUUUAUGGAACAGCACGGGAAACUCAAUGCAAAGAGUGCAACUAUGCCUGCAGAAGUUUGCAAACGAGAAGACUUGAAAGGCCGCAGCCUCCAUCAUCAUGCUCACCUGCUGGGAAAUAUGGAGGGAGAGAAAUGGCUGUAUUUUCAAGGGGAAAACUGCAUCAUCUGAAGAUAUUCUCAGACGGGUCACGCAAUCACUAGAACUCUGGAGCAUUGCUGGGCCAAAAAAUUUAGAGUGCCUUCUCGGGCCCCCUACUGGGAGAAUUUAGUCUCUUUCUUUCCUUCGGCCUUAGGGUAGGGUGUUGACAAAAACUCUGUAUUUCAUUUUAACUUCUCUCCUCUGCUAAAUCAAUGAAAUGCCAGCAGGUGCUGAAUCUUUCAAAAAAAGUUACUUAAAUGUGUGAACAUGGAGUAAACAAUAACAUGGGUAUGACAUAGUCCAGGUGGGUGUUCUUGAAUUGUUGUCAUGUGAAGUUCACGGUGGCGGGAAGUGAUGAUCAUGUGAAAGCACAAGGCACGUCCGACAAAGGGUAAUUAGAAUAAGUAGUCACUUCCAAAGUGUACAUGUGAAAUAUCAUACGAUGGAAACAUAAUUGUAUUGUGGCCGUAACAAAUCAUAUCAAAUACACUUCAUCUUGUUAAAAAUAUAGGGCGUUAACUAGCCCAAUUCAGGUUUUGAUAAGAAAUUAAGAUAAUAACAUGCCGACUAUGUUAUACUCCCUCCGCUCCUAAAUAUAAGUCUUUUUAGUCAUUUCAUAUGGACUAUAACAUACGGAUGUAUGUAGACAUAUUUUAAAGUGUAGAUUCACUCAUUUUGCUUCGUAUGUAGUCACUUGUUGGAAUCUCUAAAAAGACUUAUAUUUGGGAACGGAGGGAGUAGAAAGCAAACUAGUAUAAUUGGAUUUGUAAUAUACUCCCUCCGUAAAGAAAUAUAAGUGAUCUAAACGUUCUUAUAUUUCUUUACAGAGGGAGUAAAUCUCUUUUCUUCACUUAUCAUUUGAUUAUCUUUAUCUUAACUGCAAAUGAAAUAUUGAUUAUAUAGUUUAAAUUUGGAAAAUGUGUGCCUUGUGUUUGUUACGGAGGGACUAUGCAAUAAGUUAUUUUGGUCAUGCUAAAAACAUGAGUCAUACUUAAAUGGUCAAUGAGAGAGAGAGAGAGAGAGAGAGAGAGAGAGAGAGAGAGAGAGAGAGAGAGAGAGAGAGAGGGAGAGGGAGUCACGCAAUCACUAGAACUCUAGAGCAUUGCUGGGCCAAAAAGUUUAGAGUGCCUUCUUGGGCCCCCUACCGUGAGAAUUUAGUCUCUUUCUUUCCUUCGGCCUUAGGGCAGAGUGUUGACAAAAACUCUGUAUUUCAUUUUAAAUUCUUUCCUCUGCUAAAUCAAUGAAAUGCCAGCAGGUGCUGAAUCUUUCAAAAAAGUUACUUAAAUGUGUGAACAUGGAGUAAACAAUAACAUGGGUAUGACAUAGUCCAGGUGGGUGUUCUUGAAUUGUUGUCAUGUGAAAUUCACAGUGGCGGGAAGUGAUGAUCAUGUGAAAGCACAAGGCACGUCCAACAAAGGGUAAUUAGAAUAAGUAAUCACUUCCAAAGUGUACAUGUGAAAUAUCGUACGAUGGAAACAUAAUUGUAUUGUGGCCGUAACAAAUCAUAUCAAAUACACUUCAUCUUGUUAAAAAUAUAGGGCAUUAACUAGCCCAAUUCAGGUUUUGAUAAGAAAUUAAGAUAAUAACAUGCCGACUAUGUUAUACUCCCUCCGUUCCUAAAUAUAAGUCUUUUUAGACAUUUCAUAUGGACUAUAACAUACGGAUAUAUGUAGAGAUAUUUUAAAGUGUAGAUUCACUCAUUUUGCUUCGUAUGUAGUCACUUGUUGGAAUCUCUAAAAAGACUUAUAUUUGGGAACGGAGGGAGUAGAAAGCAAAGUAGUAUAAUUGGAUUUGUAAUAUACUCCCUCCGUAAAGAAAUAUAAGUGAUCUAAACGUUCUUAUACUUCUUUACAGAGGGAGUAAAUCUCUUUUCUUCACUUAUCAUUUGAUUAUCUUUAUCUUAACUGCAAAUGAAAUAUUGAUUAUAUAGUUUAAAUUUGGAAAAUGUGUGCCUUGUGUGUGUUACGGAGGGACUAUGCAAUAAGUUAUUUUGGUCAUGCUAAAAACAUGAGUCAUACUUACAUGGUUAAUGAGAGAGAGAGAGAGAGAGGGAGAGGGAGAGGGAGAGGGGGAGGGGGAGGGGGAGAGGGAGAGGGAGAGUGAAUUUGAGAUAUUGACAAAUUUUAUCUUUUGCGGUACAAUAAAUAUGAGUGUCGGUGAUGAGAUUGCAUAUCCACUCCUCUUACCCACGUGAUCUAGGCCUACUUUGUCAUCGAUAAUCAUAUUUCCAUACUUCGGCAAGUGAAAUAAGCAAAAGAACAUGGGCACAAUCUGAAAUAACAAAUUAAGUGACUGAGGGAGAUCGCAUUAGAAAAAUAUCAUGUCUAAAUACUUGAACGGCGCUAAAAAAAUACAAAUUAGUGCAAGCAACAUCGACACGAUCAAAUAUCAUGUGGUUUACCAUGUAAUAAGUCAUGUACACACAUUCGAUAAUAAGAAUUGACGGAUCGAUGAGCGUUUGGAUGACUAUUGGAAAUGAAAUAAGUGAUUUUUUUGUAUUUGUAUAGGUUAGAAAGAAAAGUUCAUGUCAAGUACUUAAAAGUCAUUUUAGUUGUGUUAAACAGUAGAAUUUAGUGCAACUAUGGAAAUCAGCAAAAGCUAAGUUAUGACGCAUAUACCAUGGACACAAUUAGAAAGACAAGGUAACGUUCAUGCCUACAAGGUAUGCAAGAGUUGGUAGCUAGAGAGAUAAUAUAGAUAAUGUUUUCACAAUUAUCGUUAAAUAUGAGCACAAUACAUUAGUAAUAGACUAAGGCGUGCAUGUGUGGAAGCAUGUCGAUGCAUGUCAUAUCCCUAAUUGAACCUAACUGCAAUAUCACUAACGACGAGAAAGGGGAGAAAAAAGGCCCAAUGAUAUUAUGUUUCGAUUAUUUCUUAUUUGAAGCUCCUCUUCAUCUAAUGUGGUGUUAAUUUUUGGUGUCUAAUUUCUCAAGGCCAAUGAACCAGAUUGAAAUAAGCAAACAUGCUAUUACCAAAACUUAACAACGGGCGACAAAUCUACCCAUGCAAAUGCAUGGGUCAUUCCGCUAGUUGGUACUUAAGCUUCAUUAAUGGUAUUAAAUACUACCAAUAUUCACUUGUUCAAGUUGCAACUUGUUUGAAAUUUGUGUGUGGGAGUGCAGCAUCGGUUCUACGGGGAGUCAAAGCCGUUCGGGAAUGACUCAUACAAGUCAACUGACAUGCUGGGCUACCUGACGUCCACACAGGCGCUCGCUGACUUUGCCAUCCUCAUCACCAGUCUCAAGCAGAACAUGUCCAUUGUUGAUGCCCCCGUCGUCGUCUUCGGCGGCUCUUACGGCGGCAGUAAGUCCAUCACUAACAUGUUUCCUUAUUAUGUCCGUUCAUGCAUUAGUAUGAAUCUCCUUCUUAAGUUUAUUAUUAUUUUUAGGAGUGGUUGUCGCCUCUUGACUCGUUUUGUUUUAAAGAAAUCACUUGGAUUGGGGUGGGGAGGGAGGAAGAUCCCCACAUGUAUAUUACCCAUAAUAAUUUAAGGGCAAGAAUUACAGGGUCACGACGAUGCGUGAAGAGAGGUAGUCCCGCCAAGACAAUGCAAUAACAUUACCAACUGGCUCCUUAAACUGCCGAGAUCAAAUAUUUGAAAUCCAAAAGAUGUUUAUAAUGGUAGCUACACACCAAGGAGGUCAUUGUUUCUGAAAACCUUGCUGUUACCGAAGUCCCAAAUCUUUCAAAGUAUAAACAACAAGAUUUCUACCCAGACGUCGUUAUCUAGGUGAGCUGGAGUAGGGGAGCACCAAAGAUCCUACACCACGUGGUAGGGAUGAUGCUGAGGUGACUCCAAAUCCGCAUGGAGCUCAGAGAGUUGAUGAAGAUGUGGUGGGCGUCCUAGGAAGCAAAUGUGCAUUGAGGGCAGGAGCCGGUGGAGGAGAUGUUUGUGGAAUAGAUUUCCUCUGGUAUCCAAACAUCCACGACAAAGAGUAGCUAGCCACCUUGAUCUUGUUGGGGUCUCAGAAGAGCCAUAUGAGAUCAGCGUGAUCAUAUCCCCAUACUCAUGAUUGAGAAGGUUGUAGACAACAUGGAGAGACAAGUCAUUAGAGUAACAAAGACAAAGCGGGCUAUUCUUUCGAAGCAACAUUGGCGAGACCAUUUCGUAGAUUCACAUGCAACCCGAGGUGACUCCAAAUCCGCAUGGAGCUCGGAGAGUUGAUGAAGAUGUGGUGGGUGUCCUAGGAAGCAAAUGUGCAUUGAGGGCACGAGCCAGUGGAGGAGAUGUUUGUGGAAUAGAUUUCCUUUGGUAUCCAGACAUCCACGACAAAGAGUAGCUAGCCGAAGACCUUGAUCUUGUUGGGGUCUCGGAAGAGCCAUAUCAGAUCAGCGUGAUCAUAUCCCCAUACUCAUGAUUGAGAAGGUUGUAGACAACACAAGGGAGAAGUCAUUAGACUAACAAAGACAAAGCGGGCAAUUCUUUCGAAGCAACAUUGGCGAGGCCAUUUCAUAGAUUCGCAUGCAACCCAUCUUGCAUGGUCCCAUAGACUAGGAUUUUGGUUCGAUUGAGUGGGUGUGAAGGCUGGGAAUGUGGUGACUAGGGGUUGCUGUAAGAGCCAGGUGUCAAGCCAAACAAAAGUGGUGGAGUUGUUGUUUCUCAAACAAAAGAGAGUUGUUGUAGUUGUGGUAGCUUUAUUUUUUUUGUGAAGAAGGGUCUAGAUAUAUUAUAAAAGUUCACCAAUAGUACAAAGCACUGCAGUCGUUGCCGUUGAACCCAUGAAUCGGCUGAAGCGCCUGACACCAUAUGUCGCUGCGAAGAGCGUGAGGGGAGAAACCCCAACCUCACCACUCCAAGGAGACGACAAUAAUCUACAUAGGAACUCUGUCGAAUCUGCCCUGAUGGCUAGGUUAGAUAGGAAGAAUGUUCGAUAGACGUGACCGAUGGUGUGAUCGGUAGCUUUGUGUAGAUCAAGAUGAGCUAAUAUACACUAAUGUUGUCAUGUGGAUAUUACAAAAUAAAACUAAUGAUGUCUUAUGGUCUAUGGCUUUGGCUGUUGGUUCUAGUGUUGGCUUCAUGGUUCAGGUUAAAGUAUCCCCAUGUCGCCAUGGGAGCCGUGGCGUCCUCUGCACCCAUCCUGCACUUCGAUGACAUCACCCCGUGGUCAAGCUUCCAUGACACCGUCUCACAGGACUUCAAGGUAAUUUUCUAUACCUAAAUAACUAGUCGUCACUACUCUCUCCUUCCAUCUAUAUAGGGCCUAAUGCGUUUUCCAAGGCUAAAUUUGACCAAAUAUUAGAGCAAUAAUAUGACAUGCACCCGCAAAUAAAAUAAAAUAAUAUAUGACAUGCAACUUACACAAAGCACAACCUUCAAUGAUAUAAUUUUCACAUUGUGCAUGUCAUGUACUAUUAAUCUUGUCAAUAGUCAAAGGCGGUCUUAAAAAACCGCAUUAGGCCCUAUAUAGAAGGAGGGAGUAACUAUUUUAAAAACAUGCAGCUAUGCUAUUGGUACCUCAUCAUCCUAAUAAGUUCUAGAAAUUAAUUGCAUGCAUGUGUCCUUCGCACCAAGUUUUGUUCCCCACAUUUAUGCGGACUUCUUUUUUGAAUUCCCUACUCGUAACUGAGUGCACGUAUGAUGCAAUCAAGAUAUACAAUAUUAUAAUUAAAAUACGCAUAUUGAUACAACAAAAUUUCAUGGAAAUAUAUUGCAACCAAUUCCUGCGGCAAUGUGCGGGGUUUCAUCUAGUAUAAUUAAUUACCACUCCGUAAUAACAAGAAAAAGAAAUAAGUUGGCCUAAUAAUUUCUGGAUAAAGGGCCCACUGUCACCGGUCAAAUUAUUGGUCUUCAGAAUGCACGGCAGGUCGACAUUAACUCGUACGUCCGUCUUCUGCAAACUGAUUGAUGAUGAUGAUGAUGACGCAUCCGUUGCUAAUAACCCUAAACCCAAACCCUAUAUUUAGGGCUUAGGGUUUAGGGUUUAGGUCUUGAUUAUGAGUUCGUCAUGGCUAUUCACUUGUUGAUUAGCUUGGUUGCGAUGCUCAACUGCAUCAAGGGACUAUUUUUUCAAACCAUGACUGCACGUGAACUAAAUAAAUACUACCGCUGUUCCUAAAUAUAAGUUAGGGUUUAGGGUUUAGUGAUGACGAUGACGCAUCCGUUGCUAAUAACGUAGGGACAGGAUAUAUAACAUGGAAAUGGAAUGAUGAGUAACUUGCUAGUGACAUCUUUGUCUGAUUGGUGCUUGAUUAGUCCUUCUCCCCAGAUCAAGUUUCCAUGAAAACCCAGGUGUUUAAUCAGCUGAUUGUAAUCCAACUAGUUUUGCAGUCCGAGAGCCUGAAUUGCUUCAGUGUCAUCAAGGCAGUCUGGGAUGUGCUAGAUAAAAGGGGAUCCAACGACACUGGGCUCUUGGAGCUCAGCAAAACCUUCAGGGCCUGCAAGUAAGCUUUGCCUAACACAAUUACUCAAUCUUUUCAUGAAGGGAGAUUUUUUUUUCUCCUUUAUAACUUAUUGAUAUAGAGAGAAAAACAAGAGAUUAAGACUACAAGUGUUCUUUUCUAUCCGUAAAGUGCAAGUAAAGUAAACAAAUAGUCAAACCUUGUAGCAAGAAAUACAUGGAAAAAAGGACUUGCAGCCCCAAAGAAGGUACAUUAAGUUCAAUGAUAAAUGGACGGACAUGUAAAUCUAAUUUUGCCAAGCUAACUGGAGUGGUGAACUAAUGAAGGAUUUCAUACUUUGAGCGAAUCGACAACAAUGACACCGGUUCAUGGCGUUGCUUUAUCCUUUGAAUCUUAGGACCGUGCAGUUCAUUUAUUCGCUGAGCAGCUGGCUACGGACAGCGUUCAUCCACACAGCCGUGAUGGACUAUCCAACCCCAGCAAAUUUCUUGACGAAUCUGCCUGCUUACCCAGUCAGGGAGGUUAGCCACUUUUAACCUAAUUUACAACUAUUAUUCUCGCCGUCAUUACAUCAAAUGAAUGAGAGUAACAUGAGUUUCAGAGUUACCAAACUGAGUCAUGCAAAAAGAGGAACUGUUAUUUUUACUCCUGCUUUGCAUGUAAUUCUCCUGACAUUUCUGCAGAUGUGCAAGAUCAUUGAUUCUUUUCCUGCGGGAGCCGACGUCAUCGACAAGGCUUUCGCUGCGGCGAGCAUGUACUACAAUUACACAGGCGACCAGAAAUGCUUCCAGGUGGAGGGUGGCGAUGAUGACCCUCAUGGCUUCAAAGGAUGGGGCUGGCAGGUACAAGCCUGACUCACAUACAUGAAGACUGAACUACUGAUAACACAUGAAGACUGAGAUGAUCAUAUAUGUGUUUUCUGAAACAAACUCUUGUGCAGGCCUGCACAGAGAUGGUCAUGCCGAUGACGGUGUCGAACGAGAGCAUGUUCCCACCAUCCAGCUUCAGUUACGAGAAGACGUCCGAGAACUGCCUCGCGGGCUACAAAGUUCUUCCGAGGAUGCACUGGAUCACUUCUGAAUAUGGUGGCCAUGUAAGUUUUUGUUCAGAUUUUUAGUGUUUGUAUACGACCGUCAGUAGCAGCAUUUCUUUGGGUGGCAUGUGCUCACCUGGUACUGCAUUGCACAACCCACUACAGAAAAUUGACAAGGUUCUCAAGAGGUUUGGGAGCAACAUCAUCUUCUCCAAUGGGAUGCGAGACCCGUGGAGUGGAGGCGGGUAGGAGUAAAAGAUUUCUCACCAUCUGAUCUAUUCAUGUUGAUAGUUUCUACCAUUUAGGUAGCAAUUUUACCAUAGUAAACAAUAGUAACAGUCUUCCUUCCGAACUGCUACCAGGGUACUCAAGAACAUAUCAUCCAGCAUCAUUGCUCUUGUCACGGAGAAAGGUAAACUUGAAGUUGUAGAAAAUAUGUAAGGUCAAAAGUAUUCUGAACUUACUUACGAGUGGCUACUUCUUGUGGCGAUGUUCAGGGGCCCAUCAUUUGGACCUCAGAUCUGCAACCAAGGAUGAUCCAGACUGGAUUGUAGAACAAAGGAGACAGGAAGUUGAGAUCAUACAUGGAUGGAUAGACCAGUAUAACAAGGACAUUGCACAGAUGUAGCAGUAAGGAGGCGCCAUUAAUUUUCACGGUCAUGGAAAAUAAAUGUGGCUACAUGGAAAAUGUAAGGACUUUGCUUCCUCCUACAGGGCAAUAAGCACAAAAACUUAAGAUAGUGCAUCAGUGCAACUUCAAAUUCAACAAGACACCAGAAAUUCUUGAACUUAAGCAGUCAUACACGGGUCAUGAAUGCAGAGGUUCUCUUUUUCUACUUCUAGAACUGUUGCGUUGAACACUGAAUUUAUGACCCCAUAAAAUAAGACCAGCUUAAAAGGUAAAGCUAUAUCGAUGGAAGCACCUAACCCUGCUUCUAACUUUUUUCUACAAUACGCAUAACAUUCGUAUCAUUGCAUUAGAAGAAGUGGCAAAGAUGCCGGGUACAACGCCUUUCGUUCAUUACAACGCCAAUCUCUAGGACUAGCAGCCACCCACCACGUACACCACCACACCCACUACAAAACAUGCCACACCUAGUCCAGCCUCAUGCUAAUGACAAUGAGACAAGCCAUAGAGCAUCAAGGCGUGUCACAACCAACGCCAAAGAUCUCUACAACAAAACCAAGACUCGAGGACAACACAGACCAACGCACCCCCACCCAUUGCGCCAUGAGAAAGUUGGCAAGUGGAAGGCAGGGUGUGAAUGGACCUAGAAGAGGCGUCGUUGAGAGAGCGUUGGCAAUGGUGUACAUUGCACCCUGGAGACCCACGCCUAGAGCAGUAGGCGACACUGAUUCAAGCCACACCCUCGUGACACCUCGAGCAACAAGGCGACCCCUUCAAGAAGGGAACGGCGUCAAGAUGCCGCCGCCGCCCUGCUUCUAACUGAACUACGGCAAUUUGCACAACUUCAUGGAUACAAUAUGCAACAUCAACAGUCAGUCAACACACAUGCAGAAACAUCUCUCUCAAAAUACAUGAAAGCAUCAUCUCGAGAGAAAUCCAACAUUGGUAAGAAGUUUGAUUUAUACACAUGACCAACUCAGCAGAUUCAUAUGCUAAGUCUGAAAAGUCUAGAGAUAGUGUCAAAUAACCAUAAAGACGGGUAUAUAGUUUUUUUUUCAAUUGUUGAGGGAGGCUCCCUGCGUGAAUAUGAUCUUUUUGUAUAAAUGAUCCGGCUUAUAAGGAAACAAAAUCAAAAA